AGUAAAUAGAAGAUAUUGUUUGAUAUUAUGAUUAACAAUAUCUAACAAUAUCUUAAUAAUAUCAAACAAUAUCUAACAGAGUGAAUCAAGUCAAAUAGAAAAUUACUCUUUUUACUUGAGAUGAGAUAAGAUGCACGGUGAUGCUUUAACAAUUGACAAAUAUCACAUUUGAAAGACGAAACAAAACUCUUUAGAAAAGAAAUGAGGGAACAAGGAUUUUGUAAGGUUGAAGGAGGGAUUUCCAAUUCUUUAUGUGUCUGAUAUUGUUUGUUGGUUUGACCUUUGUUUUUUUUUUUGGAAUUUGAAUUCCAACAGAUACAACCUACGUUGCCCCUUAGCAAUUAAAAUCGACUUCCUUGUUGCAAGGUUUUGAAAUACAAUAAGGAGAGAAAAAGUUGUUGAACAAUUUAAAUGUUUUGUAAGCCUUGUAUGGAAAUAUGCCUAUUGGUUAGUAGUGGGACAUAAAACAUCUAAAGUUAUAUUCCCAGAGCCCCAUAUGGGUACACUAUCACCAUUUGCAAUUGUUAUGAGUUGUUCACAAGUCAUUUGCAGCUUAAGAAAGUGAACCAAGUGAUCAGUUGUUUCUGGAUCAAGAAUCCAAACAUCCUGAGACAAGGGGUCAAUAGUAUAUCUUACCUUACCUUUCAUGGGUAAGGUAUAGUAUUCAGAGGACUUAAUCAUUUAUUCGAUCAUUUUCUAAAAAAAUCAAGUUUCUCUUUAAGAGCUUUUAUCCUAGACAUUGAAAAAAAGAAGAUUUAGUUCUUAUUGUAACAAAUAGAACCUGUUUGGUGAAAGAACCAAAUGAAUUCAAAUUUACUGAAAUAGAAGUCAAAUGAGACAUCACCACCCCUUGGAGUGGGCUCAUGAGGUCCCAAUGACGUUGUAUGUGGUCGCAUUGAGUGGAGCACACCUUUUGGUCCUACCAUGACGACCAUGGCGAACAACAACAGUGGCAGCUAUUAACGAUACAGUGGAAACAGGACUUCAAAGAUAGGGAGCUCUAAUAACAUUUUGAACUAUAUAAGAAAAUAAAGGAUUAUUUUAUUGAUAACAAUCACACACCAAUUACAUUUUUAUCAUUUCUUCUAUUUGUAACAAUAAAAACUUUUAAAUUAAGGAAAUAAAAAUAUAAGAUAUUUUUCCUAAUUAUUAUGAAGACAUUGAGAAUAUUUUUAUUAUAAUAAUCUGGUUUUUAUAACAGUUUAUUAACAUAUUCUCAAAUUCUGGUGUCCCUUUUUCUCUAGCUGUAUUGUUAACACUGGCACCCAGGAGAAGUCAGGGGUCAAAGGGGUUGAUUUACUUAAGGUCUAAAGUCAGAUAAAGUGGAUGUCACUUUACUCCCAGAAGAGUUGGAUGACAUGGAAAAUGUUUACCCACAAAGUAUGAAUUCUAAUUUUGAAAACACAUGUCGCCCCCAAAGAAAUCAUGGGUCUCAUUUCUUAUCUCUGCUGGAACUGUUCCGGGUAUGAAAAAGCGAGGGAGGAAGAGAAGUUAUGAAGCCCGAGGAUUUCAGCGACGUGGUUGCAUUGCAGAGCUAUGUCGCAUUUGAUUAUAUCAUACAGACCUACCCAUAUUGUGAUUAUUAUUAUUAACUUAGGCCUUGAUUUUUAUAUUUAAUUAUGUAACCAACUGGUGCAGAAUGAGAAUAGGACUAGAAGAGAAAGAUGGAAGAAAAGAAGGGAAAGUCCAGGAAGGACAUUAAGUUCUAAAGUUGGUGUGACAUCUUUUUUCUCUUGCAGAAAAAAAAUGGGGGACCUGGAUGUUACACAUUCAUCAAAUUGUCAUUUUCCGUUUAGCGAGGAUUAGUUGUUAACUGUGUUGUAUGGUACUUCUAUCACAUGUAAUUGUCAGCAAAAGUAGCUUUCAUUGUAUAAGUUAGGAAUUUAUAUAUCGUAUACUUAACACCUUAUGCAGCGCUGAUGCUUUAUUUGGAAACACAAUUGCAAUUAAUCAUUAUUAAGGUUGGUUGGUA